UACGUAGGGCGCAAGCGUUAUCCGGAAUUAUUGGGCGUAAAGAGCUCGUAGGCGGUUUGGCAAGUCGGGUGUGAAAACUCCGGGCUCAACUCGGAGACGCCACUCGAUACUGCUAUGACUCGAGUCCGGUAGGGGAGUGCGGAAUUCCUGGUGUAGCGGUGAAAUGCGUAGAUAUCAGGAGGAACACCGGUGGCGAAGGCGGUUCUCUGGGCAUUACCUGACGCUGAGGAGCGAAAGUGUGGGGAGCGAACAGG
rnacentral:rRNA from 1 species